CUACGGGUCGCUCCAGUGGGGAAUAUUGGACAAUGGGGGAAACCCUGAUCCAGCAAUGCCGCGUGUGUGAAGAAGGCCUGCGGGUUGUAAAGCACUUUCGGUUGGGAGGACUGCUUCUAGCACUAAUAUUGUUGGAAGUUGACGUUACCUUCAGAAGAAGCACCGGCUAACUCCGUGCCAGCAGCCGCGGUAAUACGGAGGGCGCAAGCGUUAAUCGGAAUUACUGGGCGUAAAGCGCGCGUAGGCGGCUAGAUCAGUCGGGUGUGAAAGCCCCGGGCUUAACCUGGGAACUGCAUCCGAUACUGUCUAGCUUGAGUACAGGAGAGGAGAGUGGAAUUCCACAUGUAGCGGUGAAAUGCGUAGAUAUGUGGAGGAACACCAAUGGCGAAGGCAGCUCUCUGGCCUGAUACUGACGCUGAGGUCCGAAAGCGUGGGGAGCAAACAGGAUUAGAUACCCGUGUAGUC
rnacentral:rRNA from 1 species